UGUAUAAUGGGUCAGCGACUUAUAUUCUGUAGCAAGGUUAACCGAAUAGGGGAGCCGAAGGGAAACCGAGUCUUAACUGGGCGUUAAGUUGCAGGGUAUAGACCCGAAACCCGGUGAUCUAGCCAUGGGCAGGUUGAAGGUUGGGUAACACUAACUGGAGGACCGAACCGACUAAUGUUGAAAAAUUAGCGGAUGACUUGUGGCUGGGGGUGAAAGGCCAAUCAAACCGGGAGAUAGCUGGUUCUCCCCGAAAGCUAUUUAGGUAGCGCCUCGUGAAUUCAUCUCCGGGGGUAGAGCACUGUUUCGGCAAGGGGGUCAUCCCGACUUACCAACCCGAUGCAAACUGCGAAUACCGGAGAAUGUUAUCACGGGAGACACACGGCGGGUGCUAACGUCCGUCGUGAAGAGGGAAACAACCCAGACCGCCAGCUAAGGUCCCAAAGUCAUGGUUAAGUGGGAAACGAUGUGGGAAGGCCCAGACAGCCAGGAUGUUGGCUUAGAAGCAGCCAUCAUUUAAAGAAAGCGUAAUAGCUCACUGGUCGAGUCGGCCUGCGCGGAAGAUGUAACGGGGCUAAACCAUGCACCGAAGCUGCGGCAGCGACACUAUGUGUUGUUGG
rnacentral:rRNA from 1 species